rnacentral:rRNA from 1 species
UACGGAGGCUCCAAGCGUUAUCCGGAUUUAUUGGGUUUAAAGGGUGCGUAGGCGGCCUAUUAAGUCAGGGGUGAAAGACGGUAGCUUAACUAUCGCAGUGCCUUUGAUACUGAUGGGCUUGAAUGUACUUGAGGUAGGCGGAAUGUGACAAGUAGCGGUGAAAUGCAUAGAUAUGUCACAGAACACCAAUUGCGAAGGCAGCUUACUAAAGUAUGAUUGACGCUGAGGCACGAAAGCGUGGGGAUCAAACAGG